AUCUUAAUUUUAGCCUAGAGAGGGACAGCUCUGUAGGAAUGGAAACAACCUUUUAUAGUGAAUAAAUCUUAUAAUAUAAACCCAUUGUUGGCCUAAAAGCAGCCAUCAAUAAAGAAAGCGUUAAAGCUCAACACUAUAAACCCUUAUAUACCUAAAACUUCAAUGAAUUCCUAUAAAUACUAAUUGGGUUAAUCUAUAACUAUAUAGAUGAGAUACUGUUAACAUGAGUAACAAGAACACUGUUCUCCAAGCACAAGCCUAUAACAACCCGGAUAACCAUUGUUAGUUAACAUUCACAGGUGAAAACUCCACCAAUAAAAUUAACCUACACCUAAAAUGUUAAUCCAACACAGGCGUGCAGCAAGGAAAGAUUAAAAGAAGUAAAAGGAACUCGGCAAACAAGAAUCCCGCCUGUUUACCAAAAACAUCACCUCCAGCAUAAUAAGUAUUGGAGGCACCGCCUGCCCAGUGACAAACGUUUAACGGCCGCGGUAUCCUGACCGUGCAAAGGUAGCAUAAUCACUUGUUCCUUAAUUGGGGACUGGAAUGAAUGGCCUCACGAGGAUUCAACUGUCUCUUACUUCUAAUCAGUGAAAUUGACCUCCCCGUGAAGAGGCGGGGAUGCCACAAUAAGACGAGAAGACCCUAUGGAGCUUAAAUUAACUGACUUAACUAUCUUACCAUAUACCCUAAUGGAACAAACAAAAAGCAAAUAAGCCAGUAAUUUCGGUUGGGGUGACCUCGGAGAAUAAACUAACCUCCGAACGAUUAUAACCGAGACCUACAAGUCAAAGUACUUAAAAUCAAAUUGACCCAAUUUAUUUGAUCAACGGACCAAGUUACCCUAGGGAUAACAGCGCAAUCCUAUUCAAGAGUCCAUAUCGACAAUAGGGUUUACGACCUCGAUGUUGGAUCAGGACAUCCCAAUGGUGUAGCAGCUAUUAAUGGGUCGUUUGUUCAACGAUUAAAGUCCUACGUGAUCUGAGUCAGACCGACAUC
rnacentral:rRNA from 1 species